UGACUGUGAUGAGCUCUUUAUCCCGAAUCUGAACAUCUAUUGAUGAAACAAACACUUCGGAUCUGACUUCUGAGUU
ensembl:snoRNA